rnacentral:misc_RNA from 1 species
UCGAUUCUGGAAAAGCGUCAGGUUGGGUUUUAAGACUCUCAAAGAAGCUAUUGAAGGUGCGGUUAUUAUGCUCUCAUUUAUAUGUAUAUGCACCAAUUCUGGGUACUACUAUUGGUUCAUCUAUUCUUGGGCUUUGAAUGUAUUUAUAGGUGGGCAAAAAGUAAUCUUUCAUCUCUUCUCGGGCUUCCAUUGUAAUAUUUCAUCUAAUUAAAUUUCAGUUUUAAAUCUUCACUUUAUGAUCUAAUUUGGUAGUUUGUUCUUGAACCCAUUGGAAUAAAUCCAACCUCUAUUGGUUCAUUUUCAACUAUUUCUUUGGCUUCAGAAGAAGUGAUUAAUUAAUGCACAUUUUCAUUGUGCUUUUUACUUGGAAUUUUUAAUGCCUGAUUUACCAUCAUUAGUGUAUGUGCAUUGCAUAAUUUUCUGUAUCAUACUUCACAUUCGGUUUUGAAAUAUGGCUUCCCAUUAAAUUAUUUGCUUUUAGGUAGUAAAUAAGAUUCUGCAUUUCAAUUUCUGUAUGGCUCCAGUUGAGGUGUAGAGAUUUAGCAAGCAUAGGUUGAGUUGUCAUUUAGUCAAGUUAUGCUCUAUAAUCAGAUUAUUGUAUACAUGAUUAAAUCAAGGCACUUUAAAAUUGACUAAUAAUAUAGUUUUGUUCAGUGAAUGUUCAAUUGA